ACCCCUGAUCUUUGUAAUGAUCUCCUAUAAAUAUAAUCACCAGCAUGACGACAUAACUACUUAUUGAUGGGUGCAGUUCGUUUCUACACACAAACCCGGUUUUGCGGCCUUCAAAAUUGGUUAUAUGAACUAAAGAGUAUAUUGUCAAUCAAGCGUAUAUUAUAAAAAAAUAUUGGGAAAUUAGCACUACUGCAAAAAUUAGGCGAUCGGAGCAAGAAACGAAUUUUCAGACACACCCAAACAAAAUUCGGCCAACCUUUCCCUGGAGUUUUUCUCGUUAUCAUGUUCUUAUCAGAUAGCCGAGUGCUACAAUUAUAAUUAUGCAAUUACCGUUGACUUUCUUUCGAUUUUCAGAGGCAAAUUAAAUGUCAACGUUGCUAACUGAUUAAGCAGGUGACGAAUCACUGUUACUAAAUUACUUUCAAAAAUGAAAACAAUGGCAGCAUUUGCCCAAUAAGACAAUAUCAUACAUAUAUUUUUUUUUGAAAUGUGCUUUUGUUUUUAUGAGAGUGUUUCGAGGUUACAUACAUAAAAUAAAUAUAUAUAUUGAGUAUACUUAUGACAUGUAUCUGUGAACAUGCGAAUUUCCUAGUUUUCGCUUAGAAAAUAUCAUUUUAAUUAGAAUAAAAUAGCACAGAAACUGAAUGAAUACACUUCGGAAUAAGAUACACUAUUUUAACUACAUAAGAAGAUUGAUCUUUUGAUUUUUUUUUUAUGCAUGAUAGUGUACUUAUGGUUUCCCUGAUAUCUUUAAGGUUUUUGGGCAUGAUAUCAUAAAUUUGAAGAUUCAUUUCAGUUUCCUCAGGAAAGAGUGGUUCUGAUGGGUUGAGUUCGGUUGGGUCGGGGAUCCCUGGACAAUUAGCAGAUACACGUCUAUAAAGAUGGGCUAGAGAUCGCCGCGUGCCAAGCACGAUCGGUUGGAAUGAUCACAUAUGAAUGCACACAUCGCACCGAAAUCUUUAGAAUAAAUAUUAUAUCGCACUGUUGACACAUUUCGUAUAUUGAUUAUGGGUAAUCUGGAAUCAUAUGAUGGAACGCACUGAAGUUUGGCCACUUUUCCGGUGCCCUGUAUUUAUUUAAUUAUGUCAACUGUUGGACGAGAGAUUAUAUUGUUUUAGAUACCAUAAAGCUUUUCGCUUUCGCCAAUUCAACAGGUGAAAAGUGAUCACGCACGAAGUUUAUAUUGUGGGGCACGCGCACGUCACUAAUGUGAGAUCAUUUAGAUUAUUUUAAACACAAACAAAUACACACUUUUCAAUAGCCAUGCACAUAGAUCGGCCGUAUAAACAUUCGCGUUAUAUAAAGAAUUUUCCCCAUUGUAUCCAUUUACAGAUUAACCACCGCACAUAUGCCUUGGGUACAGGUACACACAUGGGUACGCACGGGUACACACGGGUACACAUGGGUACAAUGUAGAUAAAAAUAUACACAGGUAUGCCCGAGGAGGAUUGGUAAUGUGUUCCAGAUGGAGAUGACCUCAAAUGCUCAGCGCCAAGCUUUUCGCGAUACUCACCCACCGAGUUGUACUUUAAGACUAAACGAACUUGAUGAACUUUGUGUAGAGAGAUAGAGAGCUUUGCAACAAUUCGAGGGCUUUUUUCAAAAGUUAUAGUACAUGGGCAACAACAAAUGACGAGGCAAACGAAUGUGACGAUUCUAUUAUGAUCGUUAUGGUCGAUAGGGGCAGGGAAAAGGGCCAUCUAGAGAACCAAACUUAAGAUCAUAUGGCUGCAUUCUACACAUUCUGAGGGAAGCUAAAACAAAACCAUGUAUUCAGCAAAACCCAAAUAGACAUGAGUAACUCCCAUGGAAAUAUUUCGGCUGUAUUCUACGAGUUGGGACGACACCUUACAUACACAUUCAUGAGUGUUAGGCACACAAUAUAUGGCUGUAAAUUUCGAAGUUGUAUGCUUAUGGAGUGUAAUAUAAUAAAAUGAGUCUACCAUGACUUGUACUACUCUCUUGUUUUAAUGAAAA